rnacentral:rRNA from 1 species
AAAACUCCCAAACCCCAUGUGAACCUACCUCUUGUUGCCUCGGUGGAGGCUGCGGGGGCGGGUGCGCGGCUACCCCUGUGGCCGGCCGCGCGCCUACCCUGCAGCCCUGCCGAACGGCCAACCAAACUCUUGUUUUGUUAAUGCUUCUGAGCGUCUUAUUUUAAUAAGUCAAAACUUUCAACAACGGAUCUCUUGGUUCUGGCAUCGAUGAAGAACGCAGCGAAAUGCGAUAAGUAAUGUGAAUUGCAGAAUUCAGUGAAUCAUCGAAUCUUUGAACGCACAUUGCGCCCGCUAGUAUUCUGGCGGGCAUGCCUGUUCGAGCGUCCUUAAGUCCAUCAAGCCCUGCUUGCUGUUGGGAGACCGCACGCCUCAGCGCGUGCGCCUCCCCAAAUCCAGCGGCGGAGCCGUGUCGGCCCCUGAGCGUAGUAGAUCUCUUCUCGCUUUUGGUGGCGGCGCGGUGCCGGCCGUAAAACUUCUUUCUCUUAGGUUGGACCUCGGAUCAGGUAGGAAUACCCGCUGAACUUAAGCAUAUCAAUAAGCGGAGGAAAAGAAACCAACAGGGAUUGCCCUAGUAACGGCGAGUGAAGCGGCAACAGCUCAAAUUUGAAAUCUGGCCUUCGGGUCCGAGUUGUAAUUUGCAGAGGAUGCUUCUGGUGCGGUUCCUUCCAAGUUCCCUGGAACGGGACGCCUUAGAGGGUGAGAGCCCCGUACGGUUGGACACCAAGCCUAUGUGAAGCACCUUCGACGAGUCGAGUAGUUUGGGAAUGCUGCUCUAAAUGGGAGGUAAAUUUCUUCUAAAGCUAAAUACCGGCCAGAGACCGAUAGCGCACAAGUAGAGUGAUCGAAAGAUGAAAAGCACUUUGAAAAGAGGGUUAAAUAGCACGUGAAAUUGUUGAAAGGGAAGGAUUUGUGACCAGACCUUGUCCUUGGGGAUCAUCCGGCGUUCUCGCCGGUGCACUUCCCUUGGUUAAGGCCAGCAUCGGUUUCUGUGGGGGGAUAAAAGCUUCGGGAAUGUGGCUCCCUACGGGGAGUGUUAUAGCCCGGGGUAUAAUACCCUCACGGGGACCGAG